rnacentral:rRNA from 1 species
GCAACUCGCCUACAUGAAGCUGGAAUUGCUAGUAAUCAUAGGUCAGCAUACUAUGGUGAAUACGUUCCCGGGCCUUGUACACACCGCCCGUCACACCAUGAGAGUUGAGAAUACCCGAAGUCCAUGUCAAAGUGGCCGAAGGUAGGCUUGAUGAUUGGGGUGAAGUCGUAACAAGGUACC